GGGGGCAUAGCUCAGUUGGUAGAGCACCUGAUUUGCAUUCAGGGGGUCAGGAGUUCGAGUCUCCUUGUCUCCACCA
rnacentral:tRNA from 1 species